rnacentral:misc_RNA from 1 species
UGCCGGCGACCUCACCCAAAAAAUCCGGCCAUCAGAAGGUCGGCAAGUGUGUCUUACAAGCCGUUAUAAGUUUUUGCCGCCAUCCCACUCGCCGGCACGUGGAGGCGCAUCCGCCAUCAUCUGCCGGUCCAAUUGCUUUCGUCGACAUCGCGUUGGGGUGUACACUGCAUCCCUGUUAGCUGUUUUGUCAUAGAGUGCUCUUGUGGAGGUGAUUUGUCUUGGUCCACCUACUACUGGGUAUGUCUCUGGCUUCUAUUACACCGAUCUGCUUUAAAAUUAUGUCUUGAAGUGUUUUUGCUGCCUAUAGAGGUGUGUCU